rnacentral:rRNA from 1 species
CAAUAGCGUAUAUUAAAGUUGUUGCAGUUAAAAAGCUCGUAGUUGGAUUUCUGGUGGGAGCGAUCGGUCUGGCGCUUAGCGCGAGUACUUGCAUCGUCUCCGGCCAUCCUUGGGGAGAGUCUGUCUGGCAUUAGGUUGUCGGGCAGAGGAUCCUCAUCGUUUACUGUGAAAAAAUUAGAGUGUUCAAAGCAGGCUUAUGCCGUUGAAUAUGUUAGCAUGGAAUAAUAAGAUAGGACUUUGGUACUAUUUUGUUGGUUUGCGCACCAAAGUAAUGAUUAAUAGGGACAGUUGGGGGUAUUCGUAUUCCGUUGUCAGAGGUGAAAUUCUUGGAUUUACGGAAGACGAACUACUGCGAAAGCAUUUACCAAGGAUGUUUUCAUUGA